rnacentral:rRNA from 1 species
ACGGAAGGCAGCAGUGAGGAAUAUUGGUCAAUGGACGGAAGUCUGAACCAGCCAAGUCGCGUGAAGGAUGAAGGUAUUAUGUAUUGUAAACUUCUUUAGCAGUGGAGUAAUAAGGUGGUCGAGACCACUGAUGCAAGUACACUGAGAAUAAGGAUCGGCUAACUCCGUGCCAGCAGCCGCGGUAAUACGGAGGAUCCGAGCGUUAUCCGGAUUUAUUGGGUUUAAAGGGUGCGCAGGCGGCUUUUUAAGUCAGUGGUUAAAUCGUGACGCUCAACGUCAUCACGCCAUUGAUACUGGAGAGCUUGAUUGCGGUCGAGGUUUGCGGAAUUCGUUGUGUAGCGGUGAAAUGCAUAGAUAUGACGAAGAACACCGAUUGCGUAGGCAGCUUACCAGACCGUAAAUGACGCUCAUGCACGAAAGUGCGGGGAUCGAACAGGAUUAGAUACCCUGGUA